rnacentral:rRNA from 1 species
AUGUCUUCCAACGGCAAGCCCAACCCGCAGCCCCCCGCCGCCGCCGCCGCGGCCACCAACGGCGCGGGCGCGGGCGGGCCGCCCAAGAUGUACCAGCGCCCCAUCUACCGCCCGCAGGGCCCCGCAAAGGGCCGCCGCGGGGGCCGCUCCUCCUGCCGCUUCAGCUGCUGCUGCUGCUUCUUCUGGGCCGUGCUCGUCGUGCUCCUCCUGGCCCUCGUCGCCGCCGUCGCCGGCGGCGGCUUCUACCUCCUCUACCGCCCCCACCGCCCGGCCUUCACCCUCUCCGUGGCGCGCGUCAACAAGCUCAGCCUCUCCAGCUCCGCCACGGCGCCCGCGCUCACCGACUCCAUCGACUUCACGCUCACCGCCAAGAACCCCAACAAGAAGCUCGUCUACCUGUACGACGACUUCACCGUCACCGCCGCCACGGCCGCCAACGCCGUGCCGCUCGGGGAGGCGACCGUGCCGGGGUUCCUGCACGAGGCCAACAACAUCACCGUCAUCAAGGCCACCGUCACCGCGGCCGCGCUCGGGGUCGACCCCACCGCCGCCAGCUCCGACAUCAAGAAGUCGGGCACCUUCGCCAUCACCCUCGACCUGGAGACCAAGGCCGGCGUCAAGGUGGGCGGGCUCAAGACCAAGAAGAUCGGCAUCCAGGUGCACUGCGACGGCAUCAAGGUGGCCGCGCCCGCCGCGGCGCCCGCGCCGGCGAAGAAGAAGGGGGUGAAGCUCACCGUCGCCAAGGCGCCGUCGAAGGCGCCGGCCGCCGUGGAGGCCCCGGAGCCGUCCGCGGCCGUCGACGACGCGACAACCUCGCCCCCGGCGGCGACCACCGUCGCGCGCGUGUGCCAGGUCAGGAUCCGAGUCAAGAUCUGGAAGUGGACCUUCUAG